rnacentral:rRNA from 1 species
UACGGAGGGUGCAAGCGUUGUUCGGAAUCAUUGGGCGUAAAGCGCGUGUAGGCGGCUUGGCAAGUCAGUUGUGAAAGCCCGGGGCCCAACCCCGGAACUGCAUCUGAAACUGCUUGGCUGGAGUCCCGGAGAGGAAGGCAGAAUUCCCGGUGUAGGGGUGAAAUCCGUAGAUAUCGGGAGGAAUACCAGCGGCGAAGGCGGCCUUCUGGACGGUGACUGACGCUGAGGCGCGAAAGCGUGGGGAGCGAACAGG